CUCUCCCGGCCUCAGAGGGGGCUGCUGCUAAGCCCCGCCUCUUUGAUCAGGCCCAGAGAUAGGCUUGGAGAUGCUGACUGGCAUAGGAACUAACCAAUCAGUACAAAAGCGGAGAGCACUAAUGCAGUCUCCUACUAUCACAAAUUGUGCAGUUGAGUUUCCCACAACUGGGGGAGUCACAGGGGUCAGCACAUCAGGAGUGCAAUGGAUAAGGCUCGCCCUGGGAAAACCACCUUCAUGAUUAUGGCAUCUCCCCUGCCAGGUUCAGAGGAUCCACCAUGGUAUUUUGAAGGCCUAGAAGAUGGUAGAAGUAACCUGGGUAGAGGUAACAUGGGGCUUCUGAAUGAUGAUGGAACAGAAACACCUCCCACAACAAAUACAUCAAUCUAUACUAG